rnacentral:tRNA from 3 species
GGAGAGUUCACCUAGCGGCCUAUGGUACCUGCUUGGAAAGCAGGCGGGUUAACGCCCACGAGGGUUCGAAUCCCUCACUCUCCG